UACAGAGGUGGCAAGCGUUGUUCGGAAUUACUGGGCGUAAAGGGCGCGUAGGCGGUCUCGUAAGUCCUGUGUGAAAUCCCCCGGCUCAACUGGGGAACUGCACAGGAAACUGCGAGACUUGAGUUCGGGAGAGGGAAGCGGAAUUCCGGGUGUAGCGGUGAAAUGCGUAGAGAUGUGGAGGAACACCGAUGGCGAAGGCAGCCCCCUGGGCUAACACUGACGCUCAGGCACGAAAGCGUGGGGAGCAAACAGG
rnacentral:rRNA from 1 species